rnacentral:rRNA from 1 species
GAAAUAUGGUCAAGCGAAUAAGGAUCCAUGGUGGAUGCCUUGGAGCUAUCCGACGAUGAAGGCCGUGGUAAGCUGCGAAAAGCAGGGGUAAGGAGCAAACAUCUUUUGACCCCCUGAUUGCCGAAUGGGGUAACCCAAUAGACUAGAUGUCUAUUACAUUAACAUGAAUACAUAGUGUUAUUGAGUGAGACUCAGGGAACUGAACCAUCUAAGUACCUGAAGGAAAAGAAAUCAACCGAGAUUCCCUUAGUAGCGGCGAGCGGACGGGG